rnacentral:rRNA from 1 species
UACGUAGGUGGCAAGCGUUGUCCGGAAUUAUUGGGCGUAAAGCGCGCGCAGGUGGUUUCUUAAGUCUGAUGUGAAAGCCCACGGCUCAACCGUGGAAGGUCAUUGGAAACUGAAGGGCUUGAGUACAGAAGAGGAAAGCGGAAUUCCACGUGUAGCGGUGAAAUGCGUAGAGAUGUGGAGGAACACCAGUGGCGAAGGCGGCUUUCUGGUCUGUAACUGACGCUGAGGCGCGAAAGCGUGGGGAGCAAACAGG